ensembl:lncRNA
AGAAGAAGAACGUUCCAUCAGAGCUUCCAUCUGUCUGCUGCUCGGUGUGUGGGAUGUCGGAGGCCACCUGAACGCAGCACGGACUCACCUGCCUCCCCAGGUGAGCUGAAUGAGUGUGACGAGCUGCUGGAGGUGCAGCUGUGAUAUAAAAGCAGAGCAGCUGCAGCUCCAGCUCACAGCUUCUGUCUGCAGCAGCCUCCUCACUGCUGAUCAACCUGCUGGAGCUGAACUCUGUGGCCUCGGCUUCUUCUCACAGCUGGACAUGCUGCUGGAAUCUGUUCUCAGGUGAGCUGCUGCGCUUCAUGCUGCAGGUCAAACAGGUUCUGGAGGAGCUGGUGGAGGAACUGGAGGAGCUGGUGGAGGAGCUGGUGCUGGUGGUUCUGGGGGAUCUGGUGGUUCUGGAGGAUCUGGUGGUUCAGGAGGCUCUGGUUUCUUCAGCAGUUCUUUGCCCUUUGGAUCUGCAGGAUUUACUCCUUUGAUUAACUACCCACAGGGGUUCUCCUACGAUAUAAAUGACUUGAGACCAAGGUUUGUCCGUCUCCCAGACCCCUCAGUCUGGAUCCCUGAUAACAUUCCCACCGACCCCUUCCCAUUGGUUGUUCGUGGUCCUACGUCCUACAUCGUCCAGUCUAGUAACGGCUACCAGCGAGCCAGAGAACUCCUCUCCCACUCUAAAUACUCCCCAGAUGACUUUGGCCCGUUUUUCUCUCCGGUGAACCCAGGAGAUCCCAGCCAAGGACCUGGACCUGGAACCGGAACCAAGGUCUAAGGAGGUGGAACUGAUCAGCAGAACCUCCAAGAAACUACGACGUAACCUUUAAUAAACCUUAAGUAAACAUGAAUCUGAGUAUCUGUGCUUGACUUUAACGCCAUUGAUUUAAACUGGUUUAGUUUGACUUUAAACAGCUGGUUUUCUUAAACUAUCAAGCAGCCGUUCCAAUAAUUCUGGCUGCUGUAGUUUAAAGUCUCUCAGGUGUUUCUCCUGCAUCUUAUCAGCUCAGAGGUAAGAAAAUGGAGGAUGACCUGGAACAAAUGACACCGUGUCUGGGACCAAAUGCAGCUAUAGUGAAGAACCUGACAGUAAAGUGACUCUAAAGCGUCUUGUGUAGAUGAGUAGUUCUACUGAAUUUGUUCUGACCAUUAAACCCUAGACCUCUCCUUCCUUGGUUGGAGUUCUGUUCUCAGCUGAUCUAGUAAACUGGAAUUGUGACCAAAGUAAACCAUGAAUCUGAGUUUGUCUGACUUGAACUUUACUGAAGGUUUAAAUGAGUUUUAACUCUUUAAACGGUUGGUUUUCUUCAAUUCUCCUGAAGUUAUCUUUAACUGGCUGCUCCUGUAGUUUAACAUUGCCAUGAAGGUAUUUGAGCUACAAAUCAGGAGAACAAGGGUGAAAACUCUGCUUUUCUGGGACCAAAUAAAGCAGUUCGCUUAAAAGUGAUGUUUUUCUGUGUAGAUUAAUGGACUAAAGUGGUUUUUCC